rnacentral:rRNA from 1 species
GAUGAACGCUUUCGGCGUGCCUAAUACAUGCAAGUCGAGCGAACAGACGAGGAGCUUGCUCCUCUGACGUUAGCGGCGGACGGGUGAGUAACACGUGGAUAACCUACCUAUAAGACUGGGAUAACUUCGGGAAACCGGAGCUAAUACCGGAUAAUAUAUUGAACCGCAUGGUUCAAUAGUGAAAGACGGUUUUGCUGUCACUUAUAGAUGGAUCCGCGCCGCAUUAGCUAGUUGGUAAGGUAACGGCUUACCAAGGCAACGAUGCGUAGCCGACCUGAGAGGGUGAUCGGCCACACUGGAACUGAGACACGGUCCAGACUCCUACGGGAGGCAGCAGUAGGGAAUCUUCCGCAAUGGGCGAAAGCUUGACGGAGCAACGCCGCGUGAGUGAUGAAGGUCUUCGGAUCGUAAAACUCUGUCAUUAGGGAAGAACAAAUGUGUAAGUAACUAUGCACGUCUUGACGGUACCUAAUCAGAAAGCCACGGCUAACUACGUG